UAGAAAACAUGUUUACUAUAUCUGUAUGUAAUAUGUCUUUACCGUAACCUCGACUUACAAAACAUUGAAGGAUAAUUACAGCACUUGAGUGUAUAAAAUUUUGUUUCUCAUAUAUAUAUAUGUUUGUACAUAUAAACCUAAACUAUGUACGGCAUCAGAGGAAGAUUAAAAUUAUGGAUCGUACGUUCGACGUAAAUAAAAUAUAUUUCUACAUAGCUGAAGAUAUAUGUAAAAUAUAAUAAUAUGUAUUGUGGAAUGUAAUAAAAACCAUUAUGUAUUUAUA